CCUACGGGUGGCAGCAGUGGGGGAUAUUGCACAAUGGGGGAAACCCUGAUGCAGCAACGCCGCGUGAGUGAAGAAGUAUUUCGGUAUGUAAAGCUCUAUCAGCAGGGAAGAGAAUGACGGUAGCUGACUAAGAAGCCACGGCUAAUUACGGGCCAGCAGGCGCGGUAAUACGUAGGGGGCGAGCGUUAUCCGGUGUGACUGGGGGUAAAGGGAGCGUAGACGGCUGGUCAAGUCUGAAGUGAAAGCCCGGGGCUUAACCCCGGAACGGCUUUGGAAACUGGGCAGCUAGAGUGCGGGAGAGGUAAGCGGAAUUCCUGGUGUAGCGGUGAAAUGCGUAGAUAUUAGGAGGAACACCAGUGGCGAAGGCGGCUUACUGGACAGUAACUGACGUUGAGGCUCGAAAGCGUGGGGAGCAAACAGGAUUAGAUACCCGGGUAGUC
rnacentral:rRNA from 1 species